GAUGAACGCUGGCGGCGUGCCUAAUACAUGCAAGUCGAGCGAACGGACGAGAAGCUUGCUUCUCUGAUGUUAGCGGCGGACGGGUGAGUAACACGUGGAUAACCUACCUAUAAGACUGGGAUAACUUCGGGAAACCGGAGCUAAUACCGGAUAAUAUUUUGAACCGCAUGGUUCAAAAGUGAAAGACGGUCUUGCUGUCACUUAUAGAUGGAUCCGCGCUGCAUUAGCUAGUUGGUAAGGUAACGGCUUACCAAGGCAACGAUGCAUAGCCGACCUGAGAGGGUGAUUGGCCACACUGGAACUGAGACACGGUCCAGACUCCUACGGGAGGCAGCAGUAGGGAAUCUUCCGCAAUGGGCGAAAGCCUGACGGAGCAACGCCGCGUGAGUGAUGAAGGUCUUCGGAUCGUAAAACUCUGUUAUUAGGGAAGAACAUAUGUGUAAGUAACUGUGCACAUCUUGACGGUACCUAAUCAGAAAGCCACGGCUAACUACGUG
rnacentral:rRNA from 1 species